GCAGUCUANCGGUAGAGAGAAUCUUGCUUCUCUUGAGAGCGGCGGACGGGUGAGUAAUGCCUACGAAUCUGCCUGGUAGUGGGGGAUAACGUUCGGAAACGGACGCUAAUACCGCAUACGUCCUACGGGAGAAANNNNNNGACCUUCGGGCCUUGCGCUAUCAGAUGAGCCUAGGUCGGAUUAGCUAGUUGGUGAGGUAAUGGCUCACCAAGGCGACGAUCCGUAACUGGUCUGAGAGGAUGAUCAGUCACACUGGAACUGAGACACGGUCCAGACUCCUACGGGAGGCAGCAGUGGGGAAUAUUGGACAAUGGGCGAAAGCCUGAUCCAGCCAUGCCGCGUGUGUGAAGAAGGUCUUCGGAUUGUAAAGCACUUCUAAGUUGGGAGGAAAGGGCCUCUACCUACAUACGUGAUUGGUUUUGACGUUCACCCCACUCCAAUAAGCGCCGGGCU
rnacentral:rRNA from 1 species